CAGCUAGUUGGUGAGGUAAGAGCUUACCAAGGCGUCGAUCGGUAGCUGGUCUGAGAGGACGAUCAGCCACACUGGGAUUGAGAACGGCCCAGACUCCUACGGGGGGCAGCAGUGAGGAAUUUUCCGCAAUGGGGGCAACCCUGACGGAGCAACGCCGCGUGCAGGAGGACGCUUUUCGGAGUGUAAACUGCUUUUCUGUGGGAAGAGCAAGGACGGUACCACAGGAAGAAGCCCCGGCUAACUACGUGCCAGCAGCCGCGGUAAUACGUAGGGGGCGAGCGUUGUCCGGAGUUACUGGGCGUAAAGGGCAUGCAGGCGGUCGUACGCGUUUCGGGUGACAGCGGGUGGCUUAACUACCCGAGUGUUCGAAAGACGGUACGACUUGAGGGCUCGAGAGGGACACGGAAUUCCGGGUGGAGUGGUGAAAUGCGUAGAGAUCCGGAGGAACACCGAAGGCGAAGGCAGUGUCCUGGCGAGUGACUGACGCUGAGGUGCGAAAGCUAGGGGAGCGAACGGGAUUAGAUACCCCGGUAGUCCUAGCCGUAAACGAUGACCACCAGGUGUGGGAGGUAUCGACCCCUUCCGUGCCGGAGUUAACACACU
rnacentral:rRNA from 1 species